UCUCCUGAUUUACUUAAAUCUUAUAUUCUCCUUCUCAAUAUCCUUCUAGGAAGUUCUGUCUCUACCCAAUAAUGUCAGGUCAUUUCCUCAGGCCUAGAGCCAUUUGAUUUCCAGACUUCUAUACUCACACUUAUGCUCUCAUUCUCUGUCAUGGUUCAUUUACUACGCAGCAGCUAAUGAGGCCAACCAUGUAUCUACAGCCCAUUGACAUGAAAAAUGGGGAGGAGAGGGUUCCUUAGAUAAAUACAGGGUUAGCAAAGGAAAGUUUCUUAGGAAUCACUUCAGGAUCCAAGAAAAUUCAUUCCAGAGCUUCGAGAGUUUACAACUCAAAAACAACAGCAUAAUAUAUGAGGUGGUGAAUCUUCUUGGCCUUCUCAAUGAAUAACCUCAGAAAUGGUCAGAGAAUAUGCUUCAAAAAGAUCCCUAGCAGAUUGGGCCCACCAGGGGAACAAGCUCUUGGACCUGGGGAUCAAAAGUGCAUCUUGUUGGACUUCUGAGGACUUGCCCUGCAAGGGUCUCUUUCUGGAUCACAAUCCCUCUGUUCCUGGGCAUCCCCUUUUGCUGGAUCCUGUUAUUUAUCUCUGUGUUACUCCAUCUAGGUCUACUCUGUGGACUUCCCUGCAUCUUCACCUGAACCCCAGGAAUCUUCAAGUCAUGCCAAUAUUCCCUCAGUUCUCCUGAAAUGUCUUAUUUUCUCUUCUCCUGAGAUCCCACCAAGUCAUCCCUUCUGAGACCCCUGAGUGUAGCAGGGCCCUCUCUGGUCUCUUUGCUUCAAUUAUGAAUGAGGAGAAUGGGAGGUCCUCUUUGCCGCUCCUACCCCUGUGUUGCCAUCAGGAUCAGCUUCAUGAGGCAGAAUGAGGCUGUCUAGAUCAACAUGGCUUUCCCAACAUUGAGCUCUGUGCCCAGCACAAGGCUAAGAACUGAUGGGACGUUCACCAGGGAGAGCAUCCCUUGGCAGAAAGGGGGCCAUGGGCAUCCUUGUCCUGUAUGGGAGACACUGCUCAGCCUGGGGGAACCUCUGUUCAUGAAGGUGGGAGAAAAAGAUAAACAAAAUUCACUGUGAAUGUCUAUGUAUCAUCACAGAGGAGGCAAUGACAAGAAAAUAGGAAG